UCUGGUAAUAAUGGCAGAGGGGUCACACCUGUUCCCAUACCGAACACAGCAGUUAAGCCCUCCAGCGUCGAUGGUACUUGGACCGUCGGGUCCUGGAAGAGUAGAACGUUGCCAGGC
rnacentral:rRNA from 1 species